GCGCAUGCGCAGUUUCCUACAGUCCCGGAAACGGAUCGCGUUGGGUGAAGGUGACGGCGUCGAGCAAAGGUGGGAGACAAUGCCUUGGAACUGCAAAUCUUCUCUGAGUCUGAAGCAUCCUGCCUGACGCGUUUGCUCACAUUGACCCGUGCCUUCCCUCAGUCCCUCUCAUCUCUACUGAGAUUCCGUCUCACCCUGACCCUGUGACAUGAACUUCUGAAGAGUCCACUGGGCAUGGUCCUGGGAAGGGCUCACACCCAGACAUGGAUGGAGACGGGUUGACAUUCAGGGACGUGGCCAUCGAAUUCUCUCAAGAUGAGUGGAAAUGCCUGAACUCUACACAGAGGACUUUAUACAGGGAUGUGAUGUUGGAGAACUACAGGAACCUGGUCUCCCUGGAUCCAUCUGUGAUAGCCUCUCUUCUUAUCCAAGCAAAGGGCUGAGAUUCUUGAAAAGCCACAGCACAUCAUGUUCCAUUCAUUUUAUAAGUGGGAAAUUCUCUUCCUGACCAGAGUAUUAUCCUAUGUGGGAGCACAGGAA
rnacentral:sRNA from 1 species